rnacentral:misc_RNA from 1 species
UUAGAGCACACCAGAUAGUAU